AACGAACGCUGGCGGCAUGCCUAACACAUGCAAGUCGAACGAUUGCCUUCGGGUGAUAGUGGCGCACGGGUGCGUAACGCGUGGGAAUCUGCCCUUAGGUUCGGAAUAACAGCUGGAAACGGCUGCUAAUACCGGAUGAUAUCGCGAGAUCAAAGAUUUAUCGCCUGAGGAUGAGCCCGCGUUGGAUUAGGUAGUUGGUGGGGUAAAGGCCUACCAAGCCGACGAUCCAUAGCUGGUCUGAGAGGAUGAUCAGCCACACUGGGACUGAGACACGGCCCAGACUGCUACGGGAGGCAGCAGUGGGGAAUAUUGGACAAUGGGCGCAAGCCUGAGCCAGCAAUGCCGCGUGAGUGAUGAAGGCCCUAGGGUUGUAAAGCUCUUUUACCCGGGAAGAUAAUGACGGUACCGGGAGAAGAAGCCCCGGCUAACUCCGUG
rnacentral:rRNA from 1 species